rnacentral:misc_RNA from 1 species
UUUCCGUAGGUGAACCUGCGGAAGGAUCAUUAUUGUAUAACCGAGGUGCGAGGGCUGUCGCUGACCCGAAAGGUCGUGCACGCCCGAGUGCCCGCACACACAUCCAUCUCACCCCUAUGUGCACCACCGCGUGGGUCCCCCUUUGGCUUGUUCGGAGGGGGGCUUACGUUUUCACACAAACUUUGUAUGCAGUGUAGAAUGUACUUUUUGUUUUUGCGAUCACGCAAUCAAUACAACUUUCAACAACGGAUCUCUUGGCUCUC